rnacentral:rRNA from 1 species
UACAGAGGUCCCAAGCGUUGUUCGGAUUCAUUGGGCGUAAAGGGUGUGUAGGUGGCGCCGUAAGUCGGGUGUGAAAUUUCGGAGCUUAACUCCGAACCUGCAUUCGAUACUGCGGUGCUUGAGGACUGGAGAGGAGACUGGAAUUCAUGGUGUAGCAGUGAAAUGCGUAGAGAUCAUGAGGAAGACCAGUGGCGAAGGCGGGUCUCUGGACAGUUCCUGACACUGAGACACGAAGGCCAGGGGAGCAAACGGGAUUAG